UGGUGUAGCUCAACUGGCAGAGCAGCUGAUUUGUAAUCAGCAGGUUGUGGGUUCGAUUCCAAUCACC
rnacentral:tRNA from 2 species